rnacentral:rRNA from 1 species
AUACGGAGGGGGUUAGCGUUGUUCGGAAUUACUGGGCGUAAAGCGCACGUAGGCGGAUUGGAAAGUUGGGGGUGAAAUCCCAGGGCUCAACCCUGGAACUGCCUCCAAAACUAACAGUCUAGAGUUCGAGAGAGGUGAGUGGAAUUCCAAGUGUAGAGGUGAAAUUCGUAGAUAUUUGGAGGAACACCAGUGGCGAAGGCGGCUCACUGGCUCGAUACUGACGCUGAGGUGCGAAAGCGUGGGGAGCAAACAGAAUUAGAAACCCCAGUAGUCC